GAGGGGGCAGUCACUGUGUUUUAGAUGUCAACGUUUCUCUGCGUAUUCGUAAGACAGAUGGUCAUCUGACUGUGUUCAUUAACGUGAAAUCAAUAUUUUGUGUGAAAUAGCGCUAAUAGUGAUAAAUAUUUGAGUGAGGGAGACAAAAGUUCUAAAAAGCUUCAACUUCAGUGUCUCCUUUUGAGUGUGGGAAGAUCGGUACUAGCGUGACUGCCCAAAGAAGCUUGGAUCUACAAAGAGUGGGAAGAUCGGUACUAGCGUGACUGCCCAAAGAAGCUUGGAUCUUACAAGAG